AAUCAACGCUGGCGGCGUGCCUAACACAUGCAAGUCGAACGAGAAAGUGGAGCAAUCCAUGAGUACAGUGGCGACCGGGUGAGUAACACGUGACUAACCUACCCUAGAGUGGGGGAUAACCCCGGGAAACCGGGGCUAAUACCGCAUGACAUCGCGAGGGGAAGAUCCUUGCGAUCAAAGGAGUAGUCCGCUCAAGGAGGGGGUCGCGGCUGAUUAGUUGGUUGGUAGGGUAACGGCCUACCAAGACGAAGACCAGUAGCCGGCCUGAGAGGGCGAACGGCCACACUGGAACUGAAACACGGUCCAGACUCCUACGGGAGGCAGCAGUGGGGAAUUUUGCGCAAUGGGGGAAACCCUGACGCAGCAACGCCGCGUGGAGGAUGAAGUCCCUUGGGAUGUAAACUCCUUUCGAUCGGGACGAUUAUGACGGUACCGGAAGAAGAAGCACCGGCUAACUCUGUGCCAGCCGCCGCGGUAA
rnacentral:rRNA from 1 species